rnacentral:rRNA from 1 species
UACGAAGGGGGCUAGCGUUGCUCGGAAUCACUGGGCGUAAAGGGUGCGUAGGCGGGUCUUUAAGUCAGGGGUGAAAUCCUGGAGCUCAACUCCAGAAUUGCCUUUGAUACUGAAGAUCUUGAGUUCGGGAGAGGUGAGUGGAACUGCGAGUGUAGAGGUGAAAUUCGUAGAUAUUCGCAAGAACACCAGUGGCGAAGGCGGCUCGCUGGCCCGAUACUGACGCUGAGGAGCGAAAGCGUGGGUAGCAAACAGG